rnacentral:snRNA from 1 species
ACCAAGCGCGGGUAAACGGCGGG